AUUAUUAGUGCAGCAGUCAGACUGCGAAUGAUAAGAUCCGUAGUCAAAAGGGAAACAGCCCAGACCACCAGCUAAGGUCCCGGGAGUGAAAUAGAACCUGAAACCGUGUGUCUACAACCGGUCAAAACACAUUUAAGUGUGAUGACGUGCUUUUUGUAGAACGAGCCAGCGAGUUACGGUAUGCAGCAAGGUUAAGCACCUAAGGUGCGGAGCCGAAGGGAAACCAAGUCUGAAUAGGGCGACUAGUUGCAUGCUGUAGACCCGAAACCGAGUGACCUAUCCAUGGACAGGGUGAAGCGGAAGUAAAAUUCCGUGGAGGCCGAACCACAUUGGUGUUGAAAAACCAUGGGAUGAGCUGUGGAUAGGGGAGAAAUUCCAAUCGAACUCGGAUAUAGCUGGUUCUCCUCGAAAUAGCUUUAGGGCUAGCGUUGCAUAUGAAUACUGGAGGUAGAGCACUGAAUGAGGUAGGGGCUGACAACAGUUACUGAACUCUAUCAAACUCCGAAUGCCAGAUAUUAUUAGUGCAGCAGUCAGACUGCGAAUGAUAAGAUCCGUAGUCAAAAGGGAAACAGCCCAGACCACCAGCUAAGGUCCCUUACGGGGUCAAUUUUGCCGAGUUCCUUAACAGCAAUUCUUCCGAUGGUCUUAGGAUUCUCUCCUCAUCUACCUGUGUCGGUUUGCGGUACGGGCACCAAACUCCUCGAUAGAGACUUUUCUUGGCAGCAUGAAAUCAGAUACUUCGGAAAUAAAUUUCCUUCCCCGUAACACCCCAGGCUUAAGAAUAAGCGGAUUUACCUGCUUAUUCACCCUCAGUGCUUAGACACACAUCCAAUAGUGUGCACAUCCUAUCCUUCUGCGUCAUCCCAUUUCUGAUAACGUCGUUUGGUGGUAUCGGAAUAUCAACCGAUUGUACAUCGCCUACGCCUUUCGGCCUCGGCUUAGGUCCCGACUUACCCUGAGCGGACGAACCUUCCUCAGGAAACCUUAGAUUUUCGACCACUAAGAUUCUCACUUAGUUCUCGCUACUUAUGCCAGCAUACUCUCUCCUGUACAGUCCACCACUCCUUUCGGUAUGACUUCUGCCCAUACAGGAUGCUCCUCUACCACUCGUACAAAACCAUGGGAUGAGCUGUGGAUAGGGGAGAAAUUCCAAUCGAACUCGGAUAUAGCUGGUUCUCCUCGAAAUAGCUUUAGGGCUAGCGUUGCAUAUGAAUACUGGAGGUAGAGCACUGAAUGAGGUAGGGGCUGACAACAGUUACUGAACUCUAUCAAACUCCGAAUGCCAGAUAUUAUUAGUGCAGCAGUCAGACUGCGAAUGAUAAGAUCCGUAGUCAAAAGGGAAACAGCCCAGACCACCAGCUAAGGUCCCCAAGUAUAGAUUAAGUGGAAAGGAUGUGGGAUUUCUAAGACAACUAGGAUGUUGGCUCAGAAGCAGCCAUACAUUAAAAGAGUGCGUAAUAGCUCACUAGUCAAGAGAUCCUGCGCCGAAAAUGUCCGGGGCUAAAAUCUAACACCGAAGCUGUGGACUCGUACUUCGUACGAGUGGUAGAGGAGCAUCCUGUAUGGGCAGAAGUCAUACCGAAAGGAGUGGUGGACUGUACAGGAGAGAGUAUGCUGGCAUAAGUAGCGAGAAGCCAUCUUUGGGAUACCACCCUGACAGUAUUGAGAUUCUAACCGGAGGCCAUGAAACUGGCCACGGGACAUAGCUAGAUGGGCAGUUUGACUGGGGCGUCGCCUCCUAAAAAGUAACGGAGGCGCCCAAAGGUUCCCUCAGCGCGGUUGGAAACCGCGCGAAGAGUGCAAAGGCAGAAGGGAGCCUGACUGCGACACAUACAGGUGGAGCAGGGACGAAAGUCGGGCUUAGUGAUCCGGUGAUUCCUCGUGGGAGGGUCAUCGCUCAACGGAUAAAGCUACCUCGGGGAUAACAGGCUGAUCUCCCCCAAGAGUCCACAUCGACGGGAGGUUUGGCACCUCGAUGUCGGCUCGUCGCAUCCUGGGGCUGAAGUAGGUCCCAAGGGUUGGGCUGUUCGCCCAUUAAAGCGGCACGCGAGCUGGGUUCAGAACGUCGUGAGACAGUUCGGUCCCUAUCCGUCGCGGGCGAAGGAAAUUUGAGAGGAGCUGUCCUUAGUACGAGAGGACCGGGAUGGACUGACCUCUGGUGUACCAGUUGCCGCGCUUGUACUUUGAAAAUUGCAUAGUAAGUAAAGUUAUUUUAAUAAAUUAAGUUAAGGCAAAGUUUAACUUUGUAAUUGAUUUAAUAUAAUAUAUUUUUUCGAAAUAUAUUCUUUAAAGGUCA
rfam:Clostridium sp. DMHC 10 contig_16, whole genome shotgun sequence.